CUCCCCUCGCCAAGCAGCGGCGCUGCCCCCUCCAACAGCCCCGGGGAAUCCCGGCCGCCCGCCCUUCGCUCUCGCUUCUCCUCAGCGCUCCCCCUGCGGGGCAGCGCCCGGCGCCGCGGCUAACGGGCGCCAACGGCUAACGGCCCAGCCGGCCCGGCGGGCUGCCCCGGGCGCUGGGCAGCGAGGGGGCCGGCCCAGGUGAUGCCCUCCGCCUUGCACCUGAGGCGGCGCUUCGAAGGGCUUCGGAGAGUUUCCCAUCGACGACAGAAAAGUCUCCCCGCAGCCCCGGCCCCGGGCGGGCUCGGUGGCUCCGGCCGCACACGGCCCUGCCCGGGGCCGCGGAGGCGGGCUGCGGCUGCCGGGGGCCGCUGGGCAGGCUCUGCGCGGGGUGCCGGCGGCAUGUGCCUUCACGGGUAUCGUUAGAAGGAAAAGGGCUAGAAACGCAGCCGGCCCGAUGGUCGCCUUUGCGGCGGUGGGUUUCGCGGCUUGCGCUCGCCGGCCGGGCGGCCGCGCUGGCGGGCAGCUGGCGGAGGUGUCGGCGGGGCGGCCGCCCGGUCGGCGCGGGAGGGGGGGGCUGCUUCAGAAACCCUGGGGUUUGAAGGGCUCUCUGAGGAGUCCUGCACGGUGCAAAACUCCUCCGCCUUGGACUUUCAUUUCAAGCACAGUAACGUAGCCUUGAUUUGCAAAUCUUCUGGGGGAUUCACUUUUUCACACGCUCUGAGGGAAACCACGGUUUGAUUCACAGUCACGUUCUGUUCCGCAUUUUAGCUUUGGUUUGACCUGAAACCAUGGACAACCUGUCAACGUUCUUUCUAUUUCCUUUGACUCGUAUUCAUCUUUUUUUUUUUUCUACCUAAAAUCCAGGUGCAUGGUCACCGUUCUGAAACACGGACAAGUACGUACACACUCUGUCUCUCUCCUUUCGUUUCCUUGAAAAUUUAUUGUGAGUCUUGUCUUGCUACUUUCAGUGCACAUUCCUCGUGGUGGAAACGUAGUAAGUUAGAAAGUGCUUUGCAUGCCUUUGAAGAUAUUAAGAAGCGAGAUAGAAAUUUAAUAAAAGAACUUGGGAUAGUGUACCUUUGGUAUAAGUACAGUAAUCACUCCAAUUAUUCUAUCACUAAGACGAGGUACUCAACACCCUAUGCCUUUUGUCAGUAGCAUGUCACUCACAUUCUUAAUGUAUAACUUGAGUCUAGUAAUUCACUGAUACUUCAUGAUUACACUCGAGCACUUUAAAAAAUUUUUUUAAAAAGCCUUUUCGUAUUGGCUAAUACUUUUGUACUGCACUGAAAGAGAGGUAUUAUAGGGAAAGCAAGGGUUCGGAAAAAAAAACAAACCAAAACAAACCACUAAUUCAUACUUAAUCUUUCCAUAGGUAAUGUCUUCUAGUAAUUCUGAGUGGCAGAAACUUCUGGCUGAAAGAAAGGGUUUAUUUCUUUUUAAGUUAGCGAUGCAAAAAUAAUGGAACAAAAUUAAUAUUUGAGCUGUCUUAAUAUAUGCUGAUUUAAAACUUUUUCUUGAUUGCUCCUCAAUAUAAGGUAUCUUUGUUUUUUCCCUUGAAACAGAAAAUUAUAAGAAAUUAAGAAAUACUAUACAGGCACUAUAUCUAGUCUCUUUUAAAAAUAUAUCUGCAGAAAUAUAUCAAUGUUCACUGUAUUUAUAGAAGCAGAAUUUGGCAUUCUUUUUUGUCAGUAACAUAGUAUUCCAAUUUGGUUCCCUGUAGAAAGUGGAUAGGAUUCACACUAUUUACUGCAUCAAUAUUUAAGUGACAUCGUUGGAAACAUGUUUUGUCCACUGUUCUGCAAAAUCGCAUUGUACUAACUAUAGUUUUGUAAGUUGUAAAUAACUCACUCUUAAGUGCGGGUUGAGUAUUUAAUUUCUUCACAUGACUUUUUGCAGUGCCUGGACAUUAUUUGGAGGAAAGAAAAAGACACGUCUUUGGCUCAAUCAGGUGGUAACUUACUGUUUGACAACCACUAGCAAAGGCACUUCGUUGCUAUGUAAACAUUUAUUACAUCUCGUGAUGUUUCUUCAUACUUUUAUUGUAGGAGGUAGUCAGUAACAACAUAUAAUUUGAGCAGUGAUCUUUAAUUUGUUUUUGUCAGUAGCAUUAGUAUGUUGUUCUUCAAAAGAUCAUUAGGGGCUGCAAGGAUUAUCAAAUACAGGUAACUCACAAACUUGGGGGAAGUAAUUUUGUUUACUGGACUUGAGAACAUUAGUGUGAUUUUUCAAAUAAGGUCUAUGUUUUUUCAUUUAUUGUGCUUUGGACAAAUGAUAGUAAAACACUGGCAGUAUAAAAAUAUAAAAUAACUACGGACUUUAAUGUAGCUUCACUGGAUUUUUGUAGAUGAAAAGUGAGAUAGGAGCUGACAAUGUGCACCCAGAAGGCCAGUUAUAUCCUGGGCUGCAUAAAAAGAAGUAUGGCCAGCAGGUCAAGGGAGGUGAUUCUGCCCCUCUACUCUGUUGAGGACCCACCUGGAGUGCUGCGUCCAGCUCUGGAGCCUCCAGUACAAGGAAGACCUGUUAGAGUCGGUGCAGAGGAGGGCCACAAAAAUGGUCAGAGGGCUAGAGCACCUCUCCUGUGAAGAAAGGUGGAGAGAGUUGUGUUUGUUCAGCCUGGAGAAGAGGAGGCUCCAGGGACACCCUAUUGCGGCCUUUAAAUACUUAAAGGGGGCUUAUAAAUAGUCCUGGUUUCCUCUGAGAGAAGCUGGGAGAGGUACUGCAGUGGUCUGUCUUGUAAAAGCAUGGUCCUGAUACGUUUUUGUUUUAGUCCCCCCCCGUAAUACUUCAUGCACUGAAAUUGCUUGCUGCCCAAGAACUGUGUUUACAAGAAAGCUGUUUAAAAAUAAGGGUAUGGAGAAGCACUGUUGCAGAUUUUGAGAGAGAUCUAAAUAAAAUAAGAAAGUGCUGGCUGUAAUGUGUAAUUCCGAACUCACUUUUAUAAAGUGAUAUGGAACAUGACAGACCUACUUAGAAAACUCCCCCUCCCCAAACAUGUUGGUCUUUAAUAGCUCUGCAUGGUGUUCAGACAGAUCCUCUGCAGAAUAGUUGUGGUAGCUCUUCCCUGAUUUGGUAAAGAACUUGGUGGAAGAUGGAAGAACAAGCAAGAUGAGAACAUGACAGUAAUGAAAGUCUGGAGCACAAGCAAGAGAGAGGAAGACAGAGCAGUUGACGUUCUGCAGAAGAAAUGGACCAGGCCAAUUUGCCCACUGGUUUAACCACAUUGACGUUGAACAAUUAUCUGCAAAGUUUCAGAAGGUUUAUUCUGGCUUUCUGCAAGCAUUUGUUAUUUCAGUUUGAAGUGCUCAGAAAAAUAAUGGGCUAUUUCAGAAGAAAGUGUUGAAAGUGCUUAUGCAGCUCUUCACAAUUCUGACAAGCACACCAGCCUGUUUUGACUGCUGUUUAGGGCCUGGCCCUCUACGAAGUCCUCUGUUGGCUCCUUGGGGCACAGAAGAUAUGUCACUUCUUAGAGGAGGUGGUCAUUAAGAGUAUGUUAAUAUAGUAAAUGAACAUGGAAGUGUAACAGAGGAACCUCUGAAGGGCUUUGGCAGGGAAGAAAUGGGACACAGCUGUAGAGAGGGGCUGUAGGUCCCUGUUGGUGGGUCAGCGUGUCCAGCUUCCAAAAUGUCAUGCCUCAACUCAGCUGAUUUUAACCCAGCUGACACAGACUGUGUUAGUUGUGAAGAUCUGGCAGCACAGCUUUCACUGUGGACUAACAAUGCACAUACUUCAUACCAGGCGCUCAUGUAACCUGCCCUGAAGUCCACACUGGCAAGUCUUUGCUAUUAUUCAUCUCCCGCUAAACAGGACAAAGCCACCCUGGAUACUUACACAUGCCAUUUUUUGCACAACAGAGAGAUGUAAUUUCAGUGGUAGGUAUUGACAACCAAGAAAAAAUUAG